AACGGACGCUGGCGGCAUGCCUAACACAUGCAAGUCGAACGAGACCUUCGGGUCUAGUGGCGCACGGGUGCGUAACGCGUGGGAAUCUGCCCUUGGGUUCGGAAUAACAGUUGGAAACGACUGCUAAUACCGGAUGAUGACGUAAGUCCAAAGAUUUAUCGCCCAAGGAUGAGCCCGCGUAGGAUUAGCUAGUUGGUGAGGUAAAGGCUCACCAAGGCGACGAUCCUUAGCUGGUCUGAGAGGAUGAUCAGCCACACUGGGACUGAGACACGGCCCAGACUCCUACGGGAGGCAGCAGUGGGGAAUAUUGGACAAUGGGCGAAAGCCUGAUCCAGCAAUGCCGCGUGAGUGAUGAAGGCCUUAGGGUUGUAAAGCUCUUUUACCCGGGAUGAUAAUGACAGUACCGGGAGAAUAAGCUCCGGCUAACUCCGUG
rnacentral:rRNA from 1 species